rnacentral:lncRNA from 1 species
AAGAUACACGGGCCCCAGCAGCAGGGCGCUCAGGAGAGCCAGGAUGGGCCCCCAGCGCAGUUUGGAAAGAGAGUGCUGGGCACAAGGGACUGGCAGAAAAUGCGCCAUAAGGGUGCGCAGGCUGGGAAGGGGUGAGGAACGGGGAGUCGGGGCAGAGGAAGGAGCCCUGCGUCGUGGCCUUGGCAGAGAUGGUUCCUUCAUCCUACCCGUGCCAACGGGCACAGUGCUGGGGCCGAGUGUGCGGAGGUGAACAAACAGGCCAGCCUCUGUCUCCGGGAGCUGGGGCUCUAGUGCCCUCGAGGACAGCAAACAAAUUGGUUACACUGGCUAAUAACUUAUUGGAGAUCACAACUCCCUCUGCUGAGUUGACUCUUUACAACCAGCAAGAGUAGAGCAGAUCUGUUGACUCUUGCACAUGGUGGAAGAUUCUAGAAUUCUAUUUUCUUGUGGUAACUGCAGCUGUUCAAAGACCAUCUCACCUCUCUGUGACCUUGACAGUAGAGACAGGAGGACAUCAACCACCUUCUUCUCACCUGGAAAGACAACUCUUAGUCCCUUUCCUCCCAUUUGAAUAGAGGAGAACAAAGGCAUCACCAUCCUGAGAGCAUUUGUUAAGGACUCAAACAGAUCAAGCGCUGUACAGAGUCUGGUGACCUCUUCCUGCCCUGGAGACUCUCAGUUUUGUCAUUUUGAUGAAUCUCUAAGUUGUGUUCACUUUGCAGAAUUCUACCCAACAGACACGACAGUUCUUCCAACUCUAGAACUGUGAGUAAGAGAGAGAUGGAGGAAGAGCAAAAAGAUUUGGGAAUCUGACUCCCUCGCAACCUUUCUUAGAAGCAACUCCACUGUAUUAUCCUCAUUUUAUAGAGGAGAAGACCGACUCC